GUUCUCCCCUUCUUCCUUAUUGAAAAUAAAUCUUAAUGAUUUAUUGGGAGGAUAGCGAAAGGAACCAAAAGACAAUCCAUUUAUUCUAAAGGAUCGUGGAUUACGCGGGCCAAGCUAUAGAGGGUAUCGCAAGACAACCUGAGGCGGAGGGAAAAAUACGAAAGAAGGGGAUCAGACUAGGGGAGGAGGAGAGGAAUAUAGUAAAUGGAUUCAUUCGGCUCCUUUAUGGAAUAUGGAAAAAUUUCCAGCUAUAAGAAGUGAGCGAAAAAAAAAUUCGAUACAUAACAUCUAUGUUUGCUUUUCUGUCUUAAUGCAUUCAAAGCAAGGCGCUUUCUAGAUGAUCACUCUAGACGAGUGGGGGUUUUUUAAUCUUUCUAGUUACUUCGUUCUCUAUUUCUAUCUGAAAGAAUCCUUAGGAAAGGCAGUUUGUUUCCACCGAGCUAAAACAAGAUGUCGAUGUCUAUAGUAAACCAAAGUCAUCGUUUAAUACUUAUUUUGCUUCAAUCUCGACUAUACAAAACAAAAAAAAAAUUGAAGAUUUAGUUACGAUUAGAAAUAUACUUUUAUGUCUUUUUCCAUAGAUCCUUUACUCAUAUUCAUUCAAUUGAAUGGAUUGAUCCAAUUAAUAAAAAUUAUGUUUUGUAAUUUCAUAAUCCAAUUUUUUUCAAUUAGAAAUUCAAAAACUUGGAUACAAAUCACGAGAAUGUAUAUUCUUCCUCGAAUUUUUCAUUGAAAGGUAAAUGAUUAAAUCUUUUUAAGAAAUAAAGUUUUUCACCGGAAUAUGGAGUCAAGGAUCCCUUAACUAUUAGAAUAGAGUUAAUAGAACGAAUCACACUUUUAACACUAAACUAUACUCGCUACGAUGCGAUUAUUGUAUAUAAAUGAACCUUUUGUCGAGUAAGACAUUUUGAAUUUUAUUUUAAAUUUUCAUUUAAAUUUAAUAUAUAAUUAUUAAAAUUAAAUUCUAUAAUUAUUAUAAUUAUUUAAUUAUUAUAUAAUUAUAGAAUAUAUAUUUAAUUUAAUAUAUUAAAUUAAAUAAAAUAGUUCCAUAUAAAAAUAAAAGAAUAAAAAAAUAUAAAAAGUAAUUUUGAAAGUAAUAAAAGUAAUAAAAUAAAGAAAAGAGGGAAAAAGGCUUUUUUUUUUUUCAAGCCUUACCUAUUAUGUAAUGUAAUAUAGUAAGUAUCCUUUUUCAAUUGGGAGAGAUGGCUGAGUGGACUAAAGCGUCGGAUUGCUAAUCCGUUGUACGAGUUAUCCGUACCGAGGGUUCGAAUCCCUCUCUUUUCGAUUCCGAUGAUGACUUGGAAUUUUUUUCUUUUCUUUUAAAUUUAGCGAGCUUUUUUGUUUUAUUUAAUAUUUAAAAAUGUAGAAUAGUAAAAUACUAAGAACGUUGAGAAAUCAAGAAAAACCUUUUUUUUUUUAAUUUUAUAUAUUUUAUUUUAUUUUUUUAUUCUUCACGUCCGGGAUUACGUCCUGGAUCAUUAGAUAAAAAUCUAAAGAUGAAUAGAGAAACAAAGAAUAUCACUACUGUGUAAACAAAGAGUUUGAGAGUAAGCAUUAUAAAAUCUCCAAGAUCUUUUUUUGGUUUGGAAAAAAAAUAGAUUCUCUAUUUUUAUACCACAUAUUCUAUUUUAACACCAAGACAUGGAGCGGUUUCUAGAAAUAGAAAAUAAUUUUUCUAAAUUCAAAAUUCAUUUGUAAUAAAAGUCGAGUCUUUAAUUGCCAAAAAUUUUGUUUCAUACCGAAAAUUAGAUAUUUUUUCAUAACUACAAAAAGGAUUCUAAUAGGAUCUGCAAUGGAGAAAAAGUUUAGAAUGAAAAAAAAUGGGGUGAUCUAGAAUUCUCGCGUUUAUAGUUUAUAUUUAUACAAUAACUUCAAUAUUUGAAUUAAGAGUUUAUACUUUAUACUAUAAGACUUAUCUGAUCUUAUCAAUUGCUAUAAUUUUUUUUCUCGAAUAAAUCAUGAAUUAUUUUAGGACAGCAUUAAAGAUCUCAUUGAAAACUUACAGCAGCCUGCCAAACAAAGGCUAAUAGAAAAAAGAGUACAGGGAUUACUGGCAUAACAUCUACGAUUGGAUUCAAAAAGGCGUAGGCUUCGGGCAAUUUUGUGAAGAAAAAAUUGCUUGAAUAAAGGGCAAAAUUAAGACAGAUACAAAUUAAACUAAAAAUAUUAAGCAUAACAAACAUUUUGUUCUUGAAGAUAAUUUUAUUUUGACUGAGUUAUUAAUAUGUUAUUAAUAUAAAAGAAAAGAUAUAAAAAUUGAUAAAACAUAAAGAUAAAGAAAGGUAGAUUAAAAACCCUUCUUUAUUAAACUUUAUUAAAUUUAUUAAACUCACCCAAUCAAAAAUCCUUCAAUUCUCAAAUCAAAAAAGAAUAGAGGAAAUCAUAUUUUUAUACAGUAUCUUAAUUGAAUUAUAUAUUAUGAUCAAUAAAUUGAAUUUAAUUCUAUAUCUACACAUAGAAAAAUCCGAACAACAAGCUAAUAUAUUUUCUAGAUAUUUAGUGGGAAUUGACGAAGAGCUAAUACCAAUAUUAGUUUUUAUUAGUGUUGAAUAGAAAUUCAAAUGUGGCGUGGCCAAGUGGUAAGGCAACGGGUUUUGGUCCCGCUAUUCGAAGGUUCGAAUCCUUCCGUCCCAGCUAUUCCUAUAUAUCAAAAAAAGGAUCCUUCCUUGUUUGAUUUAUCAUUUAACAUCUCCCAUAUAAUUUAAUUUAGGAAGUAGAUAGGAGUUAAUUAGUAUUAGUAAUGGAAGAUAUCUAUUUCAAUGCCUUCGCCGGUGCCUGUGAAAAUUAAAACAAACAAAACAUAUGUAGUUUCUUUUAACUAACCUUAUUUUUCAGAUAUUUUAUCUUUGUCUUUAAUGAAUGAUUCUAAAUCUAUCUAACAAUUGAGAAUCUAUCUAACAAUUGAGACGGGAUUGAUUCAUAUAUCCUAUUCACUUUUCGCUUUACUUUAGGAAAUUUUUUUAGAAAGAAUCAAGUCAAGUCAAAUAAACUACUCAUAAAAUGAAAAAAUGCUUGUAUGUAUGUAUUUUUAGCAUUUUAACACCUUUCUUUCUGAUUUUGUAAUGUAAAAAAAAAAUUGUCAUCCCUCGCUUAAUUUUAAUAUUUAACAUAGAAUAUCCAUAAUUAAUUUCAGUGACAAUUCUUUAGUUUAGAUAAUUCUUUAGUCUAUCUGAUAGUCUAUCUGAAAAAUUGAAUAUUUUUUUUACCUAUUUAUUUUAUUUUAAAUCCUUGAUGGUUUAAUUCAAAUCUGUAUCUAAAAAAGGGGGUUUUUCUCUUCUCUUAUAAUGAGAAGAUAUAUUUCUUACCUUAAAACAAAAAAAUAAUGAUAUUGGGAUAGGCAAUUUAAAAAUGAAAUCUUUUUAUUGAUUUUUAUAAGUUCUUGGGACUCAAAGAAAUGUGAGAUAGGCGAAUCCAUCCUAUGGAGUCACUUGAAGAUUCAAAAAGAACUUAUUUCUUUGUCUUAUUCUAAAUUAGAAUUGAAAAUAAAAAAAUAUUCGUACAAUAAAAUAUGGGAUUAAUUUGAAUUCUUUCUCACACUUCUUCAGAAACUACCUAAUAGAAGUUCAAAUUUUUGAUUCCUAUGUGCCGGUCGAACCAAUGACUAUUCACGAUUCCAUAAUUGAAUCAAUUACAUACUAUUUCAAAACUCAAAGAAUGUUAUGGUAAAACUUCAUUUGAAACGAUGUGGUAGAAAGCAACGUGCGACUUGAAGGACACGAUCGGUUGUGGAUUCUUACAUCCCCCCUAUUAUAUAUAUAAUUAUAUUAUAUAUAUUAUAUAGUAUAUAGAUUAGUAUAUAGAUUAAUAUUAUAUAGCUCUAUAUAUAAUAUUAUAUAGCAUAUAGGAAUGAGGGUGCUCUUAGCUCGACAUUGUUUAUUCUGUUAUACACUAGAACCUUCGUUUUUUAUUGGGUUGUAAUGUAAAUAGUACAUGAUGGAGCUCGAGUAGAAAGUAAAGUAUUGAUUUAUUUCUUAGGAGCAAGAAUCUAGGGUUAGCCCUAAUCAAUAAGUUAGAACAACUUCGUAAGUAUAUUUUCAAUAUCGAAAUAGAAAGGAUCCAAUUCUAGCGAAUUUCAAGUCCAAGAAUAAGGUCUGUUGGAAUUGACCAAAUUCUUUUGAUUAAAAAAGUGUAUCACACAGGAAUCAAUUGUUAGUCUGAUUCUUUAAUAGAAAGAAAUCACAAAAAGUGGUAUGUUGCUGCCAUUUCGAAAUGAUUAAACUUCACCGAAGUAAUGUCUAAACCCAACGAUUCAAGGCAAAGAUAAAGGAUCUUGGAACAAGGAAAUACCAUUUUCAAUUGUCUCAACAAUUAGAUCAGAAUGAAGAAUCAAAAUACAUUAUACAUUUAAAAAUAAAAGAAAGAAACAAAAAGAAAAAGAAAGGGCAUUAGAGAUCACUCAAUAAGUGAAAAAUGAAACGCCUAAGGGGUUCCCUUUGAGCUAUUUGAAAGUUAUCCAACUUGAGUUAGAAGGGUACAGAUGCUUUUUUUCUUUUUUGGUUCAUCGAGACUCUUGAAGAAUCUUUUCCAUUUUUUGGUUAUGUAUGGAAAGAUAGAAAUAAAAUGACAACAAAUUUAGGUAUUCACUUAAUCUUGCUAGGUAUAGGUGCUUUUCUUCUAGUAUUCAAGGCUCUUUAUUUUGGGGGCGUAUAUGAUACCUGGGCUCCGGGGGGGGGGGGAGAUGUAAGAAAAAUUACUAACUUAACCCUUAGCCCAAGUAUUAUUUUCGGUUAUUUACUAAAAUCCCCUUUUGGAGGAGAAUGAUGGAUUGUUAGUGUGGACGAUUUGGAAGAUAUAAUUGGAGGCCAUGUAUGGUUAGGUUCCAUUUGUAUACUGGGUGGAAUCUGGCAUAUCUUAACCAAACCUUUUGCAUGGGCUCGCCGUGCACUUGUAUGGUCUGGAGAGGCUUACUUGUCUUAUAGUUUAGGUGCUUUAUCCGUUUUUGGUUUCAUUGCUUUUUGCUUUGUCUGGUUCAAUAAUACCGCUUACCCUAGUGAGUUUUACGGGCCUACUGGACCAGAAGCUUCUCAAGCUCAAGCUUUUACUUUUCUAGUUCGUCAACGUCUUGGGGCUAAUGUGGGAUCUGCUCAAGGACCUACCGGGUUAGGUAAAUAUUUAAUGCGUUUGCCUACCGGAGAAGUUAUUUUUGGAGGUGAAACUAUGUGUUUUUGGGAUUUGCGUGCUCCUUGGUUAGAACCUCUAAGAGGUCCAAAUGGUUUGGACUUGAGUAGGUUGAAAAAGGACAUAUAACCUUGGCAAGAAUGCCGUUCCGCAGAAUAUAUGACCCACGCGCCUUUAGGUUCGUUAAAUUCUGUAGGUGGCGUAGCUACGGAAAUCAAUGCAGUCAAUUAUGUCUCUCCUAGAAGUUGGUUAGCUACCUCUUAUUUUGUUCUAGGGUUCUUCCUAUUCGUAGGUCAUUUAUGGCACGCGGGAAGGACUCGUGCAGCUGCAGCAGGAUUUGAAAAAGGAAUUGAUCGUGAUUUUGAACCCGCUCUUUCCAUGACUCCUCUUAACUAACUGAGACAAGAGAUCCAAUAGUUAAAUCGAUCUUAAAAAGUAUUCCGUUUUCCUUUCUUUUCAAUUCAUUUAGAUCUAAUCUAUUUAUUUCUAGCUCGGCUAUCCCAUCUAGUCGAGCCAUUUACAUUUAUGAUACUGGGCCAGUCAAAACUAAUAAAGACAUAAAUCUAUUCAUCGAGAAAAGGAGAGAGGGAUUCAAACCCUCAAUAGUUCUUUGCGAACUAUACCGGUUUUCAAGACCGGAGCUAUCAACCACUCGGCCAUCUCUCCGAAAGAUAAUUUUGAUUUUACUAUUUUAUUUUUAUUCUGCCGAAUAGAAUAGAAUACGGCCAUCGGAUUUGAUACCAUCACUGUACUAUAAAAACUCAGCGGUUAGUCCUUGAAUUUUGAAAGAAUACAAAAAAAAUUUUAUUUCUAAGUAUCUUAAUUGCUCAAAUUCAGAUUUUUAGAUGAAAGAAUUCUGUUCUAUCAACAAAACAAAUAUUUCGAAAAAACAAAUGGCCAACUUACCCAUAUUCCACAGGAAUAAUUUAGAAAGAUUUUUGAAGAAUAUUGUGAUGUGAUAAUAAAAAAUGAGUGGCAAAAGCAAAAUAAGACAGAAAAGUUAUCAUUCUAGGUGGUCCAGCCCUUUGUUCAUUAGGGAGGACAAAAAGAAAGAUAACAAGAAAUGUCGAGAAAGGAAAGAUAAUUUACAAGAUACGAUCUAUCCAUAUCUAAUGUAUCAAUUUCAAAUAUUGAAAAUUCAAAAUUAAAAGAGAAUUUCUUUAUUCUAUAUUUUAUUCCAAAAUGCUUUGUUUUCAUCUAUGAUAUGGGUCUAUUAUUUCGAUUUAUUACUUAUUUUGUUACUAAAUUUAUUGAAUAUUGAAAUUGAAUUUAAAUACGCAUAAAAAAGGUUUGAUUUUAUUUUAGAAUUGUUUCGUAUAUAUCCGUAUAUAUAUAUAUAAUAUAUGUCUUCUUUGGUUCAUCAAUAUUGUAUUGUGAAAUUUCAGUUAAGUUAUGCUGUAACUAUAAAAAAAAUGAAGACUCUUGGAUUUUUUUGUUCCUAUUAAGAAAAUGUUCAUUCUUCAGCUCAUUUCAAAAUACUUCAAUUGGUACACGCAAAAAAUAGGCCAAUUCCGCUACCUUUUGCUCAAUUUCUCAUGGAGUCAAAUUCUCAUCAGUACGAGUCAAAGGAAUGGACCCUCGGCCUCUGGUUUCCAUAUAAAGGACACACCGAGCAAAAAUACCCUCUUUCACUUCUAUUCUAAUAGACUGAAUAUCCUUCAUAAGGAAUCGGAGGAAGAUGCGACGAUUUUUUCCAGGGAAUCCCCAGUGAAAAAUACACACUAUUCCUUCUUUUCUAUCGAAUCGAUCAUAACCACUACCUACAUUCCACAAAAUUGUGCACCAUAAAUAAGAACUAAUAAAUAGACCGGCGAUCCCAAAGAAAGACAUCACGAUCCCUUAUGGAAAAAAAAUUAUUUACUGAGACGGAAAUAAAGAUAUCAAAUUUCUGCCAAGAUAACUGGAAAUUCCAACCAAUAAAAAUCCCAAUAAACCUAAAAGAAAGUAUAAAGGCCUAGCAGAAAUUACUUGUUUUGCGAGACCCCGCUAUAAGUUCUAUCCAUAUACGUUAUGAUCGCCAACUCAUACUAGAUCUAGUUGUUUUUUAUUUGAAGUGGGAGACUAGCCCAAAUGAAUUUGACUUUCUUUCUUUUUGUUUCCGAAGUAACUUUCAUCAACUCGGAUUAUUCUGGUGUGAAUCUUUAGGAGGAAUUCAUCGAAUUCGUUAGAUUAUAAAAAAGAGAGCUCAGCCCCCCCAUAGGAUCCCCUAUCUGCACAUAUAUAAAAAUAUCAGCUUUGCUUUGCAUUUGUUUCAGGCAUCCGCCACAGUUUCGAUUUAUUUUCAAAUAGUCCAUUUACUUAUAUAUCAUAUAUCAUAUUUACGUCUGCAUAAGAACCCUUUCAUUUUCAUUUACGUUUGAAGGGAGCUGCUCGUAUGUUAUA
rnacentral:lncRNA from 1 species